rnacentral:rRNA from 1 species
AUUGAACGCUGGCGGCAGGCCUAACACAUGCAAGUCGAGCGGUAGAGAGAAGCUUGCUUCUCUUGAGAGCGGCGGACGGGUGAGUAAUGCCUAGGAAUCUGCCUGGUAGUGGGGGAUAACGUUCGGAAACGAACGCUAAUACCGCAUACGUCCUACGGGAGAAAGCAGGGGACCUUCGGGCCUUGCGCUAUCAGAUGAGCCUAGGUCGGAUUAGCUAGUUGGUGAGGUAAUGGCUCACCAAGGCGACGAUCCGUAACUGGUCUGAGAGGAUGAUCAGUCACACUGGAACUGAGACACGGUCCAGACUCCUACGGGAGGCAGCAGUGGGGAAUAUUGGACAAUGGGCGAAAGCCUGAUCCAGCCAUGCCGCGUGUGUGAAGAAGGUCUUCGGAUUGUAAAGCACUUUAAGUUGGGAGGAAGGGCCAUUACCUAAUACGUGAUGGUUUUGACGUUACCGACAGAAUAAGCACC